rnacentral:misc_RNA from 1 species
GCAAACUUGGUCAUUUAGAGGAAGUAAAAGUCGUAACAAGGUUUCCGUAGGUGAACCUGCGGAAGGAUCAUUAACGAAACGUUUUGUCGAGAGGGGUUGCUGCUGGCCUUUCAGGGGGCAUGUGCACGCCUCGAUCGCAAUCCAACCUUCACACACCUGUGCACAGCGUGUAGCCCCCCUUGGAGAUGUCAACCGUGUGUGGGAUGGAAAUCCCCCUCGGGAUGCUUUGGGGGCUACGUUUUUUCCACAAAACUCAUCGAUGUAUCUGAACGAUAGUGUGUGGCGCCUUCACAAGCGCGAAUGAAAUACAACUUUCAGCAACGGAUCUCUUGGCUCUCGCAUCGAUGAAGAACGCAGC